CUGGGUUAGUGACAGCGUCGCGCUCUUCCCUGCGGGUCUGGGCGCGUGGGUUGAACUUUGUAGAGUUGAUAGUGUGUGUUUUGUGGGGAGCGAGUAGACUGGUCUUAGUGUUUCCUUCUGGUUAGUCUGUCCUCAGUCUCUCUGCCCUCCCUGCCCACGACUUCAGAGACUGCAAACUGCCCCUUCCAAACAGGUCCCCUAGGAUUCUGUGAGUCUGGCCUAUCGGAUUCCCACAAACUUCAGGCCUCAGUGUUCCUAGCACCCAGGUCCCUGCUUCCUCAGGAGGCCUUUGAGGGCUCCCCACAAGCACAGUGAGAACACUGGACUUCCAACAGAACCUUGGGGUUAAGUCACAAUGCUUCAGUUUCCUCUGUCACCACUGGGGUAAGAACCUGAGCCUGACGUGACCACUGUGAAAAUGUUACUGCUCGGGAAGUAUAACGGGGCCACCCUGUGAAGGGGUUUUGGAGAGGAAGCCAUGGGAAUAGGGUAUUAGCAGAACUAAGGGCAAGGCCUGGGACAGCAACUUAGCCUUCCGUCCCGCCCUAGCUUCUGAGAUCCCCACCACCACCAAUGGAGAAAUACUGCAAGGAUGGAAUUUUCCACUUGUGGCAUCCUAUCAGCACUCAAAACUUUCAGAUUUUUGGAAUCCUCUGGAAGCUGAUUUGGGAUCAAAUGAACCUUGAAUGUGAAACUGUUUGGAAGUUGGAUGGGCCAAUAUGUUUGACCUGGAAAUCAGUUCAACUCGAAAAGAGCUGGGAUUGUGUGUGCAUAACUCACAAUAUCUGAACCAUCAUUGAGCAUUAUUUCUUCUCCUGGGCAUAUUCUUUUUCUUUGCAGAUUGACUCCUAGAGUGCCAAGCUCCUCUUUGCCUCCUGGGAUAUCAUCUAUAUCCUGUGUCUGUAUUUCCCAUCUGGGUAACCCUAGACCUCACAUCAGGCCAUUCUGAGCUUUCCUCAGUUGUGCCCUCUGUCUCCCAGGCUCUUUGUCCCUGAAUGUCCUUCUUUCCUCCCUGAGGUACUGAUGCCCAGAUCUUCCUUUCUGAGAUGUGAAGCUAUUCCCAAAGGGUUAAUGACUCAUGACAUCUCAGAGCCACACUGCAGGAGUCAGAAGAGUCAGCAAUUGAAAGCAUAACCAUUGCAUAGUAGUAAAUGAACAGAGAUGCCCCUGCCCGCUAGCCUGCCCAGGAGCUGGCAUUGGUGGCACCAGCAGAGCGGUAAGGAGUCACACUCACGCCCAGCUGCAGCAGGAGGAAGGCUGGUCGGAGAGGAAAGAGCAUUGGACAACGACACGCGACUAGGGCUAGAGAGAUUGGCUACAUCCUGGCUCUGGCUGGUGACCGAGGACUGUCUCCGCAGGGCGCCCUGAAAGGAGGCCCCACUCUUGAAAGUAUUGACUACUUCAAUCUGCAACGGAGGAGAGAACGAGACAAGUUGCAAGAAGAACGGACACAACAGCUACAUGACUGACAGGCACCACGUCACGAGAACAGCCGCAGCCACGGCAACAAUGACAAUGUCACUUAAAUCAAAAUGAAAAAAAUACCAGACACAUGCCAAGGCUCUGAAAGAUGUCUGCCCUCUGUAGGCCCCACGCUCCUGGGGAGGACACAGGGCUCUGGCCUCUCCCUCACACUAGUAGCUCAGGGCCAGCAGGCUGGGCUGAGGCAAGGGUAGGUGGCCUGGAGGGAAGACAGUAGGUGCUCAGCCUUUCUCAAGGUCGGGCACGGAACCCAGUGGUAUGGUGGGGGCCCCUGGGUGGGAAGACCUUGGCCCAGACUCCAACUAGAUAGCCUUGGGCAGGUCCCCUCUCUGAGUCCCCUUCUCUGUCAUCUACCCAGCAGUAUUAUCUGUAAGUGACAGAGUGCCAGGCUGCAUCAGUGCUCAGUAGGGUCAUGCCCAUUCAGGAAACUGUAGUCCUUGCUGCCUCCUGAGAGCUGGAGGACUGCAAGGGAAUUGAGGGCACCAGGACUGUGGGCACUGAGAGCUACCCAGCCCUCACAGGAAGUACGGGCUGCCAGGUCCUGGUCAGGGAGGAGAGCCCAGGCCUGUUUCUGUGUUUGACUGCCCCCUGUCCUGCCUUGGCCAUGCCAGUUUGGCAGGAUGGGUCAUCUCAGGGCCUUAGUGACUUCCGGAACUGGGGAGUCACAUCCACCUCUCAGGUAGAGUCAAGUGAGAUGAGAUUUGGGAUGGGGUGCUGUGGGGUAUGAGGCAGCCCAGGGGAGCUGCUUGCUACACCAAUGGAAAUAAGGUUACUAGUUUGCAACUCUUUCCCAGAGUGCUAUGGGGGACCUGAGGCCAAGUUCCCAGCUCCAGCCCCCCACCUUUGGCAGGGUCCUCUCUCUUGGUUCCCAGGUUCCCUUCUGAUGCUGACUUCGUGGGGCUCUGACAGCAUUCCUGGGCUGUGACACCUGCCCAGGUUGUGUGAGAGUGCAGGUUGUGUGUGUGUCAUAGGCUCCAUGGCAGCCACAUGUUCUCUGCUCGGGGAGAAACCUGCUUGUGGCUGGCAUGCAUUCUACAUGUGUGCCCCCAGUGUGUGGCCAGCGUGCACACAUGCAAGGAGAUACCAGCCUUGCUCUCCUUAGUCCACUAAACUCCCCAGGGGAGUCUGGAGCCUCUUGUGAGAGCAAAGGAUGUAUGCGAUUAAAGGUGUCCAUAUCUCAUGGAGGGGGACCCCCAGCUGAGAGCCUGGGGUGACCCUGGCUUGCCAUGUCCAUCCAGCCCUGGCCUGUCCCUCCUGCAGGCUGCCCUAGCUGCCACAGUCCCCUCACUCAAGGGACCCCCCCCCCCAGCUGAGAAGGCACAAUGGCGUUUUCCUCAGGAGGCUUCUCUGCUCCUCCAGCAGGCAUGGGGCUGGUGUGAGGGACAUGGAUAUGCACAUGGUGAAAGUGUAAGGACCAAUCUGGGGCCCUGUAGUGGUCUUUGCCAGGAGUCACCCAAGUCCUUGUGCCCCUUGGUGGCCUGCCUGAGGUCUGUAGGCUUACACAUGCCUCCACUCCUGGCCACCUUGCCAGGCUGGGCCCAGCCCUGGGA